rnacentral:rRNA from 1 species
GAUGAACGCUGGCGGCGUGCCUAAUACAUGCAAGUCGAGCGAACAGACGAGGAGCUUGCUCCUCUGAUGUUAGCGGCGGACGGGUGAGUAACACGUGGAUAACCUACCUAUAAGACUGGGAUAACUUCGGGAAACCGGAGCUAAUACCGGAUAACAUGUUGAACCGCAUGGUUCAACAGUGAAAGACGGUCUUGCUGUCACUUAUAGAUGGAUCCGCGCCGCAUUAGCUAGUUGGUUAGGUAACGGCUUACCAAGGCAACGAUGCGUAGCCGACCUGAGAGGGUGAUCGGCCACACUGGAACUGAGACACGGUCCAGACUCCUACGGGAGGCAGCAGUAGGGAAUCUGCCGCAAUGGGCGAAAGCCUGACGGAGCAACGCCGCGUGAGUGAAGAAGGUCUUCGGAUCGUAAAACUCUGUUAUUAGGGAAGAACAAAUGUGUAAGUAACUAUGCACGUCUUGACGGUACCUAAUCAGAAAGCCACGGCUAACUACGUG